rnacentral:lncRNA from 1 species
UGGCGAGGUGGGAGCCUUGAGAAAUAGCUGGCUCGGACCCAUGGCGGGGUUUGUGUGUCAACUCCCUGGUCCUCAGAGAAUCCGAGCCACGGGAGAGCAAACGCUGCUUCCAAAACCAAAGGAGGAAUUUUGCAAUCGUUUAGACGGGUUAUAAUAGAAUCUCAUUCAGAUCUUGAAGGUUAUCGGUGCUUUCUGCAGGUUUUUAUUCCUCAAAAAUGCAGCCAAGCUUUGCUGUGCUUAUCUUGGUGGAUCUGAGCUAGGUUGGGCUAUCUUUUCCUAAUUCAAUUGCCUUUUUUUUGCAAGGAAGGGGGUUUCUGGUCCAUCGGAGGGAUCAAGGGCAUGGUCCUCACGUCUCGUCAGGAGACAAAAAUAGACAUUCAGCAGACAGACCACAGCCAGCGCAUGCGACCAGCGUCGUUUGGCUAUUUUAGUCUCUUCUUAAUACACAGACAAACGAGCAAAGAAAAAGCUACUUUGUCCAACACCGGGCCCUGGGUUGGAGUUUAGCCCUGCUUGGCUCUGCCCGCUAGUCUCAGUCAGGUCACUCACCCCAGGCCUGCGGGAACGGUGGUCUUGGUGGUCUUCUCUGGCCCUUCCACCUCUUCUGCCUUGUGGGGACCACCCAAGCCCUCUCCCGACUUGCCCAGAGGCUGCACGCCUCUCUGGCAUCACAGUCCGCACGGAGCCUGGCUGUAAGGCUCCACUGAAAUCCCCCCGGCGCUGGCUUCGUGCCCCAGGCACACCCACCUCACUUCUGCCUCUUUUCUGCUGGUUUCUGGCCUGUUUGGUCCCAGCCCCUCCCUGCACUCUCUCCGCAGCUGUCUGGUGGGUGAUGUGAACCAAGGGACACCCAGGGUCAUGGCACUGCCUGGAUUCAGUUUGGUAAUCGUCGGCAGUCUGUCCCUGGCUUCUGAGCCUGGGGCCUCCUCCUCUUUCUCCCCAUCCUGGAUGAGCAGGACACGCUGGGGAGACAGCGUCCUACAAAGGCCUCCUAAGAGCUGUGCCCUGUGCCAGGAAAGCCUCCUGUAUCUCCAAGGAUGUCCCUGGAGCCCUCCAGCUGGUGCCUCUGCUGAGGUCUGUGAGCAGCGGGAAUAGGCCUCUAGGGGAGGAGUUGGGGACAGGCCUCUAGGGGAGAGCACACCUCCGGGUACUGCACCUGUGGCUCACCAGCCACCUGCACGGGGCCAGCUUCAGCCUCAGCAGUGUCAGCUCAACAGACGUGACUGCUGUCAACACAGUGGGGCCAGGCCCUGGAGACUGACAUCUCCUGUGGCUGCUUGUUUAAAGGGCAUGGGAUAGAGAAAGAGUGUGUUAUUUUAAAGCUGGACUACCUAACAGCCUCUGAUAGCAGAUACAGCUUUGCUGCUGUUCUUGAAGUUCAAGGUGAUGUGGAGGUGUUGCAGUGACAAUCAGUACACCGUGAACAACACCUGCCACCAACGUCGACCCUGAAGUGGUAGAUGGGGCCUGCUUUGGCACUUGACGCUGGGGCAGGAGUCCCUUUCUUGGGGACUCACUCUCUACUUCGUCUCCCCCGGGAGUUGUCUACUUUCCUAGGCCCUGCCAGCAGCCCCCACAGCUCCGCCCAGCCCACUCCACCAGCUUGCUGCUCCCAUGGCUCAGCCCCACUCACAGCUCACCCCUCCCAUGGCUAGGCCCCGCCC